rnacentral:rRNA from 1 species
GACGAACGCUGGCGGCGUGCUUAACACAUGCAAGUCGAACGGUGAACCCCCUUCGGGGGGGAUCAGUGGCGAACGGGUGAGUAACACGUGAGCAACCUGCCCCUGACUCUGGGAUAACCCCCGGGAAACCCGGAGCUAAUACCGGAUAUGACACGCUCGGGCAUCCGAUGCGUGUGGAAAGAUUUAUCGGUUGGGGAUGGGCUCGCGGCCUAUCAGCUUGUUGGUGGGGUAACGGCCUACCAAGGCGACGACGGGANCCGGCCUGAGAGGGCGACCGGCCACACUGGGACUGAGACACGGCCCAGACUCCUACGGGAGGCAGCAGUGGGGAAUAUUGCGCAAUGGGCGAAAGCCUGACGCAGCGACGCCGCGUGAGGGAUGAAGGCCUUCGGUUGUAA